AGCAGCAGCAGCUCCAGCUCCAGCUCCGGCUCCAGCUCCAGGAGUGGGCAGGGGUCCCCCGCAGUGCCCACCAUGGCCCUCAAGCAGCCUAAGGCAGAGACCUUCUGCCAGCGGGCACCCAGCUUCCUUGACUACCUGCACAGCAUCCUGCAGAAGUACCCGGACAGAGGGCAGAUCCUCAAGGAGCUGGUGCAGAAUGCAGACGAUGCUGGCGCUAACGAGGUCGUGUUUGUGUCUGACGAGCGGGAAUUCAACAUCACCGGAGGGGGCCUGGAGGGCACCCAGGGCCCAGCUCUGUUGGCCUACAAUGACGAUGUGAUGUCGCCCCGGGACUGGACAGGGAUUCAGCGCCCAGGGGUGUCACACAAGCGGGAGGAUCCCCACAGCGUGGGGCGCUUUGGCUUGGGCUUCACCUCUGUCUACCACCUCACCGACCUACCAGGUGUGCUGAGCCCCCCAUACUUGGGGGUGCUGGACCCCGAAUGCCAGGUGCUGCCUGGUGCUGGCAAGCGCUGGGACAUCUCCGAAGCCCAGGACCUUCCUGGCCUUUUCGAGCCCUUCUGGGCUGGGCUGGAAGCUGUGGGACAGCACCGUGCCUCAGCCCAGGGCACCCUCUUCCGCUUCCCCCUUCGCCAGCAACCCUCAGAAAUCGCUGCAGGGGUCUCCAAUGCUGAGCGCAUCUGCAACCUCAUGCAGACUUUCCUCACAGAGGCCCCUCUUGCCCUCCUCUUCCUCCGCCAUGUCCGCCGCGUGGCCCUGCACCGUGUGGCCCCUGACGGGGUCCAGACACUCAUGGGAACACUUGCAGCAUGCCCUCAGCCUCUCCCUGUCCUGGUGCCAUUGGGGGAUGAGGGGCUGAGUCUGGCGUGGUGCCUGGUGGCCCUGCACAGGGAUAGCGUGAGUACUGGCAGCGAGUGGCUGGUGGCCACAGGCAGGGCCACUGAGGGGCCAGUCGUGGCUCUGGGCACACGGCUGGGGUGCUGCCCUGAGCUGAGCCUGGCACACCCCCUCCACGGGGCCUGCCAAGGGCGGCUCUGCUGCUUCCUGCCACUGCCAGCCACUGAUGAGACAGCCACAGGGCUGCCCGUCCAUGCCAGCGCUCCCUUUGCCCUCUCUGAUGAUCGCCGCCACCUCCGCUGGCCCCAGGAGGGUGAGGAGGGUGAGGAAGAUGCCCGCUGGAAUGCUCUUCUGCUGCUCGACCUCCUGCCCCGGGUCUACAGCCACUUGGCUGCCAUGGCCGUGGCUCUGCCCGGUGCAGAUGCCUACAGCCUGUGGCCAGACCCCGAGUGCACGCCGAGCUCUGGCCGUAUCCACAGCCUGAUGAGCCGUGUGUGCCAGGAGCUGGCGGCUGCCCCCGUCUUGCUGCCGGCCGCAGACGGGGCAGCGGGGCGGCUGCGGGCCCUCGAGGCUGUGCUGCUGCCAGAGGCUGUGGGUGAUGCAGCCACACGGCAGGCGAUUCAGGCCUUGCUGGUGGCCGCUGGGGAGCCGGUGGCUGAGGUCCCACCCCACGUGUGGAGGGCGCUGACUUUGGGGAUGCCGAAGGGUCUGCGGGAGGCCACGGCGGGACACGUGCGGGAGGUGCUGCGGCACCACGGGGCCGCAGAGCUCCCGGCUGCCGGCCGCCUCUCCCUGCUGCGCUACGUGGCCGGGGAUGGCUGCCAUGCUGAGCUCUGGGGCCUCCCUCUUCUGCCUCGCGCCGACGGAACCUUCGUGGCCUUUGGAACUGCGUCAGCCGUUGUCUACAUGGACACAUCUGACUGCCCCAGGGAGCUCCUACCUGCCUUGGCCGGGUCCUUCCUGCCCUCAGACCUGGAGCCAGGCUUAGAGAGCCUCCUGCGAGGCAUUGCCAAGGAGGGUCUCUUCCCCAACCUGGUUCUGCUGGAUCCAGCUGUGACUGUACAGACCCUGCUCUUGGCUCUGCCCCCCACCUGGACAUCCCAGUCUUCAACCCCAGUGACAUGGUGCCCAGCCCAAGGCCCCCCCCAGCCCCCAGCCUCCUGGUUCCCAGCCCUGUGGCAAUUUCUGGCCCACCACAUGGAUGACUUGGGCCCUCUGGAGGGACUUCCUCUCAUAGCCCUGUCCUCACUGGAUGCCCCCACUGUCCAUCUGGCUCCACUGAUACCUGAAUCCAGUCUUAUCUUCCAGGUGUGGGAGGACCAGCUCCUGCCACUUGCUGUGGCCUCUGUGCUGGAGGUCCUGGGUUGCCCUGUGGUGCCACCAAGCGCGUGGCACCGCUCCCUGUCCCGCUAUGUCCUGCCUCCAUCCCCCCUCAAUGCCCUGCGGGCCCUGGGCAGGCAGGGGGCUGCAGCACUGGCCUCCCGCAUGGCCUCGCUUCCUGAUGCAGAUGUGCUCAUCCUCCGGCUCUACCUGGCAGACGUCCCAUCCCUGACAAAGCAGGACAUGGCCACUCUGGCUGCUCUGCCCCUCUUUCUGCCACUGCCCUGCCUGGCCACCCCACAGCCCUCAGAGCUGGUGCCAGCUGCUGCCACCCUGGCGCUGGAGCCAGAGCUGGAGCUGCCCCAAGACGUGGUGCUGCCGGAGGCCGUGUUGCGGUGCCGGGAUGAAGCUGACCGGCGGCUACUCGGGAGGCUCCAGAGGCCCUUCAUCAGUGCAGCCUGCGUGAUGCUGAAAGCCAUCAGAGCUGUGGCCCAAGGCGCAUAUGUGGGGCGAGUGGCUGAGACACAGGCUCUGCUGCUCUGGGUACUGCAGCACGGAGACACUGUCUUUGCACAGAGCUCCCCACUCCGGCAGGCCUGCAGCAAGCUGGCCUUCCUGGAGACCCCUGAUGGCCCCGCAUGCCCGCAAGACCUCUAUGACCCCUGUGACAGCACCUUGCAGGCCCUGCUGGGACCCGAGCGCUUUCCUCCUGCUGCCUUCCACACUCCGUCCGUCCUACGUGCCUUGAGGGCCGUGGGCUUGCGGCAUGGUGAGGGGUGCCUGCUGCCCUCAGACAUCCUGGCAGCUGCAGCAAAAGUCAGUCAGGGUGGCACGGCAGCUUUGGACAGGGCUGAGGCACUGAUCACAGUCUGCAACCACCCCAAGGCACUGGAUGGCUUCAGCGCUGCAGAGCUCAGGCAGCUCCAGGCCCUGCCAUGGGUACCUCACUCCAAGUGCACAGGAGAGCUUGGGCAGCCCUUCCUGCCCCCCCGGGAGCUGCGAUCCAUGCAGUACCAAUCCCUGGUUGGGCUUGCCAUGCCCCUGACUGACGCCUUUGUGCCAGAGGCAGAGAAGAAGCUGGGGCUGAGUCAGACCCCACCGCCAGAGAGAGUGUGGGAGCAGCUGAGAAAGCUGGCGGGGCGCAGGGACAUGGAUGAGGUGGGUCCCGCUCUCCAGCCUAUCUACUGGCACAUGCAGGAAAACCUGAAGGCCUUUGGGACUGCCCCAGAUGGUGCCGUUGUGUGGACUGAGUCUGGGCUUGUCCUGCCACGUGAUGCAGUACUGGGCUAUCCUGAGAAGCUGGAGCUGGGGCUGCUGGUGCCCCGAGUGCCCCCUGACUUCCUGCCCUACAGCUGCCUCUUCAGGGCUUGGGGGGUGGUGGACGGGGUGAGUGAGGAGAGGGCGGUGUCAGCCCUGCGCUCCCUGGGGCAGGACAUAGACAGGCGCGGCUCCAGAGCGGGCACUGCCACAGAGUUGCAGGUGGUUGUAGCUGUCCUAGAGUGGCUGAAGAGACGGGGCCACAAGGGCAAGGGCACUGUGCCAGUUCCUGUGAGGAUCCCACAGGGCUCAGGCUUUGCCCUCCGUCCAGCUGCCUCUGCUGUGUACCUGGACAUGGAGCUGGAGGAAGAGGAGGAUGUUCAAGAGGUGGUGCACGAGGCAGUGCCUUCCAGCACAGCCAUGUUCCUGGGCACGGAGUGUCUCAGCACGCAGGUGCUGGGCCCAGAGCCAUUCACAGCCUGUGGCCCCUCAGAGCCCAUCACCCUACGCCUCCGCAACAUCCUCCGGGAAUACGGCGAGGAGGGCGACCUCUUCACAGAGAUGGUCCAGAAUGCAGAGGAUGCCAGCGCUACCGUGUGCCGCUUCCUUCUGGACCUGCGGUGCCGCAGAAAGGCCACCUCUGGGCUGCUAGACCCAGGCAUGGCUGCCUGCCAUGGCCCAGCCCUCUGGGCCUACAACAAUGCCCUGUUCACAGAGGAUGACCUCCAGAACAUCACCCGGAUUGGGGCUGCCACAAAGGAGGGCCAGGCAGGCCGGAUUGGGCACUUUGGUCUGGGCUUCAGCUCUGUCUACCGUGUCACGGAUGUGCCAGCAGUGCUGAGUGGGGAGACACUGCUCAUCUUUGAUCCCAAUGGCACCCAUCUGGGCAAGCACAUCCCCAGGGCCGGCUCCCCUGGCAUCCGCCUGGACUUCUCCAGCCGGCCACGCAUCCUCCGUGUCUUUGCUGAACAGUUUCAGCCCUACCAUGGAAUCUUUGGCUGCUGUCUGCCUGAGCCAGGACCCUUUCCAGGGAGCCUUUUCCGCUUGCCUUUUCGCACUGAAGAGGAAGCUGUGACAUCGCAGAUUUGCUCUGAGGCCUUUGGUACAGAGCGCAUCCAGUCCCUUGGGGCUGCUUUCCUUCGCUCUAACAGGCUCCUGCUGCUCUUCCUGAAGCACGUGAGGGAGCUAUCCCUGGAGAUGCUGCUGGACACAGCCACUUCUGCAGAGGAUACCAUGCCUCUGGCCACGCUGCAGCGAAAGGAGAUCCGAGACUUGGGGGCCCCUGGGGAUCCCCCAAGUUGGGCAGCCAUUGAGCAGCUCUCAGCCUGUGAGGAGGAAUCCAGGACAAUGUGGCAUUACCUGGUUUUGGUGUGUCAGGGUGAUGGGGAGUUGCUGGAACUGUUUCACCAGAACACACAGGCAGGACUUCAUCCUCCACUUCCCAUGGCUGGUGUGGCCCUUCCUCUUGCCCCAGCCAAAGAUGGCAAGUGGGUGCCACGUCUGGAUGCUGAGAAGGGGCAAGUUUUCUGCCACCUUCCCAUGCCAAUCAUCUCAGGGCUGCCAGUCCACCUGCAUGGGGCCUUCAGUAUCCUCUCAAAUCGCAAGGGGCUGUGGGACACGGCAGAGCGGGGCAAGUGGAACCGGGUGCUGCUCCACAAUGCUGUGCUGAUGGCCUGGCUCCAGGCACUGGACCAUCUCCGUGCCAUGCACGAGGCAGGCGAGUUGAAGAACUAUGAGUAUCAUCUCUUCUGGCCAGACAUUAGCACUGCCCGUUACCCCUUUACAGAGGCUGUGACUGGUUUCUACCAGGCUGUGGCAGCCAGGAGUAGCCCAAGGCUCUUUUCUGAUGGCCACUCCUGGUGUUCACUGCAGGACGCCUGCUUCCUGCACCAGACUGUGGAGAGACACCAUAAGCUGGGUACUGUGGCGCAGCGAGUCUUUGCCAUCACCGUGCCCCGUCCCCUGUUGGCUGUGGCCUUGCCUGGGAAGGUGCAGGAGGGCCUUGGGAAGGUGCUGGAUGCUGGAACCUAUGACUGGAACCGCUUUCUCUGUGAGCUUGUGCUUCCCAACUUGGAAAAUCUCCCUGAUGCUGACCGGAACCUGCUGCUGCUCCAUGCGCUGGAUAUGUCUCAUGAGGAUGUGGACAAAGUGCUGCAGACAGUGCCUUGCAUCCCUGUCACCCCUCAUGGCCACCUGCAGUUCAUCAAUCACCUCGUGCAUCCCAGAGGUCGCGCUGCCCCUUUAUACAGCCCUGAGGAUGGGCGCUUCCCCACUGGGAAUGCCUUCCUUUCCCUGGAGAGACUAAGCCAACUAGAGAGGCUGGGCAUGGUGAAGGACACCAUAGCCCUGCCAGAGCUGCUGGAGAGGGCAAAGACCGUGCAGCUUCUCUGGACCAAGAAUUGUGCCCAGAGCUGCCAGAGGGCUGCUUGCAUCCUCGAGUUACUUCAGGAUGCAGUGAAGAAGAGAAGAAAUGACACCCUGCAGGCCACUUUUCAGACUGUGCCCUUCCUCCCUGCUGUACUACGCAAUGGUGAGCCUGUGCUGCUGCCAGCUGCCCAGCUCUACCAUCACCUCCAUGAGCCACUAGUGGGACUCAUCCAGCCUAUCUUGGCUCCUAAAAUGCUGGGGGAAAACUUCAGCCUCUCUGAGGAGGUAGCAUCCUUCUUGGGGCUGGACCGGCAGAUACCAUCAGCUCAGGUCCUUGAGCAGCUGUGGGCACUCAGACAUUUCUCCAACACUCUCCCUUUGGAGACCCUGCAGUACAGCACCAACUGCUGCUACAAGCAGCUGAACAUGCUGCUCUGGGAACAUCACUCCAGCUGGGAUGAGGUGGCUUCUGCAGUGGACCCCAGGGAGCCCUUCAUCUUGAUGGGCUCCCAUUUUGUGCCAGUCACAGCUGUGGCCGAGACACUGUCAUUUGAGGCUGCCCCAUACCUUCAUCAGCUCCAAGAGCAGUACAAGCCCUACAGAGAGCUCUGGGAGUGUGUGGGGCUGCGCCACACGUUCACCUGGGAUGAUUAUGCCCGAGUGCUCUGCACCCUGGCAAAGACACAUGCUGGAAAGCCGCUGCCUGCUGCGGAGCUGGAUCUGGCCCUGCGGCUGGUGUCUUGUGGCUUGAUGGAAGAUGGCACCCAGCCAGAUGCCUGCCAGACCCAGCAACUCUUUCUGCCUGAUGAGGAGGGCAUUUUGCACCCAUGGGACAAGCUCUACUUCAAUGAUGCACCAUGGAUGCCAUUGGACAGAGAUGUCCUGCUGUGCCAUAAACAGCUGUCCCGAGAUGCAGCCCUGCGCUGUGGGGUGGCCACCACACGCCACCGAGCACUGGAGAGGAGUGAACUCAUCACUGAUCACCUGAGCCUCUGGGCACAGCCAUUUGGUGCCCACGAAGAUUUGCCAACACGACUGAAGAACAUCUUGAAGGAGUACUCUAAGUCCGCUCCUGAUAUGGUGAAGGAGGUACUCCAGAAUGCAGAUGAUGCUGGUGCGGGGCUUGUGCACUUUGUGUGGGACCACCGGCAGCACCCAGCGAAGGCCACUUUUAGUGAGAAAUGGAACAUCCUGCAGGGCCCUGCCCUCUGCAUCUACAACGACCGCCCCUUCCGGGAGCAGGACAUUGAAGGCAUUCAGCAUCUGGGGGUGGGUGGCAAGCAAGACCAGCAGGAUGUCACAGGCAAAUAUGGCCUUGGCUUCAACACUGUCUACCAUUUUACUGACUGCCCAGCCUUCCUGACCGGAGACAGUACCCUGUGUGUCUCUGAUCCCCAUCUCUACUACAUGCCCACGGCCACAACUGCGAAGCCUGGUAGCAUGUUUGCUGUUGACACUGACUUCAAGAAGAAUUUUCCAGACAUUUAUGACACCUUCCUACCAUCCUUCUUCAACCUGAAACAAGGCGUCCUUUUCCGGCUGCCGCUCCGCACUGCAGCUGAGGCUGCCAAGUCCAGGGUGUCUAACAUGGUGGUGCGAGACCAAGACCUCAAGAACAUGGAAGAAACACUGGCUAAGGAAGGUGAGGACUUGGUGCUCUUCCUCCGGCAUGUACACACCGUCAUCUUCUCUGAGAUCCCCCCAGAUGGGAAAGAGUUGGUGGAGAAGCUGCAGGUGACCACAGAGCUCACGGAGGAUGAUGCAAAGUUGAGACAGGAGGUUCAAGCAAGAUUAAGCAAAGCCAUGGAUGGGAACAGCCCCACCCCUCUCUCCUAUACCAUGAAAGUCAAAAAUAGCAGGGCCAAGACCACAAAUUUGUGGAGGGUGAUCUCCCAAACUGGGGUGCAGGGUGGGGCUGAGGAGUUUCCGGUGCUUAAAUGGCUGCCCUAUGGAGCUGUGGCUGCCCGCCUGGAGCCUUUGAACCGAGUCACGGGCAGAGCCUUCUGCACCCUCCCACUGCCCUUGAUCACUGGGCUGCCUGUGCACAUCAAUGCUAACUUCUCUGUGGAUGCGGCCAGGUGCAGUCUCCACUGGGACAAAGGUGGCACAGGGGCAACCUGGAAUGACUUCUUGCUCCGGCGCUUGGUGGUUCCACUAUACUGUUACUUUCUCACCAGGCAGUGGAAAGCCCUGGAGCCGGAAAAGCUCCAGUAUAAGUCCCUGAAACUCUACCAGCAGCACCUGGACUCCCACUUCCUCCAGUUUUUCCCUGUUAUGAAAAGGGUCUUACCUAUCUUCCAGGACAUGGUGAGAGAGGUCUACAAGCAGAUCAGUCAUGCACGACUGCCCCUGGUGCCUGUGUACCACAGGAAGUCAUCUGACACGGUGACAAUAACCUGGGCAUCUCCAGGUGGAGGGGACAUGCUAACAGAGCCAUACUUCCUCAAGGAGAAGCCUCAGCCAGAAGUCCAGGAAGUGCUGCAGCAACUGAACAUGAAACUGGUUCCAGCAUUCACCCACCUGCAGCAGAUCCGUGAGGAGUUCAUUGAAGCCCAGGUGAACGCUGUGGUCUUAGGGCCAGCCUCUCUCCAGCGCUUCCUCAAGGCCCUGGCUCUGCCUGUGCCCUGCAAGCUGGCUGAGACACCCCUGAGGACCCCAAAGAGCUGCUUCUACCUGCUGCAAUACUUAACAGGAUGGAACAGGCACUCCCAAGGUACUCACAAGGAUGGGGACAAGGCAGACCUGGAAGGCCUGCCCUUGCUGGCCACAGAAGAUGGUCUUCUGAAUGCUUUCAGCAUCCACCACCCUGUCUUCAAGAACUCCUUUGCCCACCUGUUCCCCAAGCACAGCCACCGUUUUGCCCAAGAGUGUAUUUCUGAAUGGAUCCCAGCUUGCUUUGUGAAGGAGCUUGACCUCCCAGAGGCCACACCACUCAUCCAGGAGGUAUUGUGUCAGCUGGAGUGGACCGCAGAGGGGGAAAAGUGGCUCAAGGGGCUGUGGACCUUCUUUGACAGGAUGGUCCCCUCCAAGACUUCAAACAUGGACAUGAAGUCAUUCAUGGAUCAUCUCCAUAAUAUGGCAGUGCUGCCUAUUCAGGGGAGUAAGACAGACUCGAAGCACCUACUGCCACUAUCCUCCCUCUCCAAGGUUCUUUUUGAGUGUCACUCUAAAGUGGAAAAGGUGUUGCACAAACUGGGCGUCCCUGUGCUCCAGCAGUCCCUGCUGCCCUGGAGUUUUGCCUACUGUUGCCUGAAGCCGUGGGCACUGCAGGUCACAGAUCCCAGGGCUGUAGUGGCCCAUCUGGCAGACACAAGAGCUGAUCUCUGCUGGGGGGAUUUAGGGGAGCAGGACGUGUCAGCCCUGCUAAGGUUUGUCCAGGAGGGAAAGCUGGAUUCACGUGGACUGGAGCAGCUCCGGUAUCUGCCUCUCUUCCAGAAGUUUGGGGGGGGCUAUGUCGCUGUGGCUCCCUACCGCAAGGUGCUGUUACUCCGCAGACAGUUCCUGCAAGUGCCCUCAAGUGCCCAAACCCUGUAUGACUUGGACAAAGACAUGCUGCUUCUCACACCAAGCCAGGACCAUGAAUGGCUGGCCAAGUGUUUGAAGUGGGAGUUCACAGAUGACCAAAAGCUUUUCAUUACUGUGGUACUUCCCCGGCUGUCCCAGCUCACACAGCAAGACCUCAUGGAAGCUGUACGCUUGUUCUUUGUCCUGCAACCCAUCUGUUCCACUCAGAGCAUGGACGCCAUCAUGGCAGCUUUUCGGAAGGUGGCCUUUAUACCAGAUGCCCACAGAACACUGCGCCUGGCCUCCUACUUCUACCAUGACAUGCCCUCCUUCCACACCCUGAGGCUCCAAAACCGCUUUGUGCCUAAAACUUUCUUGAAUAAGCUACCUUUAAACUCCAUAGUAAUUGUGGAUUUCUUCCUUAAGGCAGGUGUCCGCACCAGCCUCUCUGUAGAGGAUUUUGUGGCGCUGGCUGAGGAGAUAGAGCGUGAAGCCACUCAGGCUACAUGCCAUGCUGCAGAACUGCUGGAGCGACAGCAGGAGAUGCUCAAGCAACUUGCAAUCCUGUUGGAAAAUCCUGAGGAAAAUUUCCUGAGGAAAAUUGCCUCAAUCCAAUUCCUGCCUCCACUGGAUAUCCCCCCAAACUUGAUGAACCUCCACCCUCCUUUUGCAGACUGCAUUAAGGCCGUGGCUCUGAAAGGCAGUGUUUCCUACUGCAAAAAUGUGGCUGAGCUCCUGUGGACAUCAGCCACCAUCCUGCCAGAAUCCCUUGAACUUGAGGAGAGGUCUUUGAAGGCCAUGGAAGUCCUUGUAGAGAUUCCCACUGCCCUGGUGGUGGCCAACCUGGAGCAUGUGUGCAGGGCAGCCUGCUCAACAGAACUGCAGGUAAGCACACGGGCCAGGGUGCUCCAGAGCAUGUACAGCUUCCUGCAGACCCAUCUGAAGGAGGUGGAUGCAGAGCACCUCUCUGAGCUGCCCGUGGUGCUGGCCAAGUCAUGGGACAUAGCCAGGCCACGGCAGGUGGUGACAUCACUCCCGGAAGAGGCUGACUUUUACCCCUACCUCCUCACGCCUCACCCCCACGCAGCUGCCUUUGGAGAUCUCCUGCAACACCUUGGUGUCGUCCUGGUCCCCACACUGACUCACUACAGCCAAGUCCUGGCCCAAAUCUACCAGGAGAGCCAUGGCAGUGGAACCCUUUCCAGUAGCCAGAAGAAGACAGUCCUGCUGGCCACACAGCAUUUCUUCCGGCUGCUGCGGGAAGAAUCGGAGCCUCCCGAUUGCUCUGCUGUGGCUGAGCUGUACCUGCUGAGCGCUGCUGACUGCCUGGAGCCAUCCCACAGACUGUGCUUUAAUGACUGUGUGCCCUCAGAGACCGCUCGGGCCCUAGAGAAGACCUUUGUGUUCAUGGCUGCGCUGCCAGUGUCUGGGUGUAAUGUCAGGUGGCUACUGCAAAGGCUGCCACCACACCUGCGGCCGCGGGCACUCUCAGAGGUGACAGAGAAGCAGCUGGAGGAGGGUGGUCCACAGCCAUGUCAUUAUGGCUCUCAGUGCGCUGCGCAGAGGCGUCUCCAGACCCUGCUGGUAUCCCCGUGGUUUAGGCUGGGGCUGGAGUCCCUGCUGCAGUGGCAGACCCCCGAGGCUAUGAUGGGAAUGGAGGGGGAUGGUGGCUUUGCAGUGGAGCAGGUGAAAGUGCAGUGCUGCAAGGACAUCUGCACUGUGCUGGUGCACAGUGGGGCAAAGGUGGAGGGCAGCUCCCAGUCACAAGUUAUCUAUGUGUGCCCUUCUGGUGGUGCUCAGCGGCUCCUCUACAUCCGGCAUGCAGAGAUGGUGCUGAACUGGCAGCAGCUGAGGGUCGUGGAGACACUGGCACAGGAGAUAAAUAACAUCCUGGGUGGGCAGCUGGAGGCACAGGCUUUGUCUGUGCUGCGUGAAAUGCUGGUCUGCCAGGAGCCACAGGACGUGGCCUUGGUUCUAGAGGCAAACAACGUGGCACUGGUCGGUGCUGCACCAGAGCCAGAGAAAAGGCUGCAGGAGGAGGCUGAAGCUGGUCCAUGGAAGGAUCCCAGCCUGCCAACCUUGAGGCCUCUGCAUGGUGUCAGGGGGCCAAAGGUGUUGGUCCAAUACAAACCUGUGAGUGCUGCCCGGCACCACAGACAGGGAGGCUGUGGCUCCUGGCUGAGCAGUGAGGAGUUUAUGGCCCUGACUCCAUCUGUCCCUGAGGCCCUGCGUUGGCUGUGUCAGGCCACGAGUGACCUGCAGGCAGCCCGCAAUGACAUCCGGCACUGCUGCCCCAACUGGGUGCUCUUCAAAGUGCACCAGGCCCUGGAGAAGGCACUGGUGGCAGCCGUGCUUUGUCGUGGUGAAGCUUUUGCGGGCCACAGGGGGCUGAUGGGUAUGGCCCAAAGGCUGGAGGUGGAGGAGCCGGAGCUGAGGGGCCUUGUCCUGGACGUGCAGUGGUUGCGUGAGUGUGGUAUGGACGGCAAGGCCACACAGUACCCGAGUUACCAUCCCUUUCCCAUGACCCCCAGUGAGGCCUUCCCCAGCGUGGAUGAGGAGGAGUUCCUGAAGCGGGCACAAAAAGUGCUAGUAAUACUGAAGGACCAUGUGGGCAGAAAGUGAUAGAUCCCUACCAAGGCGCACGGCACCUGGGCCAAAGGACCAUCAGGCGCCCAUCAGAGACUCACCAUGGACCUGCUGUGGACUUGCCAUGGACUUGCCACAGACCUGCCACAGGCAAUUCCAGACUGUCCAGCCCUGGCAGGGGAGUUUUGGUGGCAGACAAGGGCCCAGACCACUGGACAUCACAGAGUUGCCUGUGCCAUUGGCAUGUCUUGAGUGUGCAGUAAAUAAAGUGCAAAAUAAAUGCUGCAAUGCUGGAAAACCCUUCACUGACAGUGGAGUCAGGGACAUGAAGAAGACGUGGGCAAUGGGUGUUGAAGAUGGAGGUGGUGAUGAAGGAGUUUGGAGAACUGUGGUUGGUCAAUUUUGGCUAGCCAGGUGCUCACUGAGCCACUCCAUUACUUCCCCUCUUUGACUGAAAAGGAGAAGAAAAUGUGAUAAAAAUCCCACGGGUGUCUUUGUUUGAAAAGACAGGAGUCUGUGAAGGAAGGCAAGGGCCUCCCAUGAAAUGGAAAAGGUAAACCCCCUCCCUCCAAAUUACCACAAUUUCAAAAUAAAAAGGCUCUCAGGCAAAGAUAUGGGAAUGGGAAUAACAGUUCUUUACUAGGAAAAAACUAAAUUUAAAAAAUGUAAUUAGUGCAAACAAAACUACUGAUAGAGUCAGAAACCUGACACCCUGAUGAGUGAAGAGGCUGAGGCUGAGUUGCUGUCUCAAGAAAUGCUGAUUUUAUGCAGGUAGGGAUGCUUGGCUCCUCCCUCUGGGUGGAGCAUCUUACAAUGGGAUGAUGUAACUUUAUCAGUCAUGCAGUGAGUCAUUCAAUGGCACAUUAACAGAAGAUAUCUCCCCGGAGGGAGACAUUGUUCUUGGAAAAGAUAAGAAAACUGCCCAACACAGAUGGCAAAUAGAAUAUAUGCUUAUUUUACAAGCCAGGACAUUAUCCACCCCUUAUUCUAUUUCCAUCUGCAUCACAAUGAAAUCUUACACCCAGUUCUCACUUAAGACUAGGU